AACGCACAUUGCGCCCUUUGGUAUUCCUUAGGGCAUGCCUGUUCGAGCGUCAUUUACAAAUUCAAGCUCCGCUUGGUGAUGGGUGUCUGUCCCGCCUUUGCGCGUGGACUCGCCUCAAAUGCAGUUGGCAGCUUGUUCCUCGGCUCUAAACGCAGCAGAAUGUGUCGAGCGUCGAGCGGAUGGGCUCUCCAGUAAGCAAACCCCCACAAAUUGACCUCGGAUCAGGUAGGGAUACCCGCUGAACUUAA
rnacentral:misc_RNA from 1 species